rnacentral:rRNA from 1 species
UACGUAGGUGACCAGCGUUGUCCGGAUUUACUGGGCGUAAAGAGCGCGCAGGCGGUCGUUCAAGUCGAGUGUGAAAGCCCCCGGCUCAACUGGGGAGGGUCACUCGAUACUGAUCGACUUGAAGGCAGGAGAGGGAAGCGGAAUUCCCGGUGUAGUGGUGAAAUGCGUAGAGAUCCGGAGGAACACCAGUGGCGAAGGCGACACGCUGGGCCGUACCUGACGCUAAAGCGCGACAGCAUGGGGAGCAAACGGG